AACCGUCGUUGUGCGCAUGCGCGAAAUAUCCCGGAUGUAAACAGUAGCAUAUACUCGGUGCCGUUAAAGGCUGCUGGUAGCACGAACGACCGUUAAAAAGUAUGGACGCAUAUCACAUUUAAAGCUGCAGCAUGUAACUUUUCUAAAAUAUAUAUAGAUAAUUUUAUAUUUGUUGAAACUGUCACUAUGAUGUGACUGUAUGAGAUAAAUAAUAUGUGAAAAAAAUCGAUCUUCUCUGGCCUGUCCCAGUGCUAACGACCAAUCAGAGCCAGGAGGCGGGUCUUGUCGCUGUCAAUCACAAUAUCUUGUGGCGCUGCUCCUCCUCCCUCCCAAACACCCGGCUCUCACCUCUUUGCUCUUGGCUACGCUGCAAUUAGCAUAGCCAGUUGUGAAUGCUAAAGCUAGUUAGCAUAGCUACAAAUGACGCGGAUUAACGGUUUUCCUGUAACAUGAUUCAAUGGACUCCUUGAAGGUGCAGUGCAUGAGUUUUCCAGAAGAUAGCAGCAGUCAGCUGUGUGCAGUGAUCUCACCUCCAUCAAGAGCCACUGCGGCAGCCCUCCCCUCUCUGAUGCUUCUGAAUAGAGGCUGAGAAUAGACGCAAGGCUGUUUCCAGUCAGAGCAGGAAUGCCUAUAUAUGGAGCUCCACGCCACGCUGAGCGAGCCGCAGGUACAUCAGCAAAUAUGGGCGACUCUGAUUUGUAAAGAGGGUGUUGGUAGGAGGAAGGAGGGGGGAAAUCGUCUUCCUACUAUUACGUGUGUGUGUGUGUGUGUGUGUGUGUGUGUGUGUGUGGCCCCCCUGAAAAGAAGCCUCAAUGCCAAGCGUGUGCGUCAGUCUGAGUCAGAUAGUGUCUCAUUCUGUCUCGUCAUACGUGUGCGUCAGAGCUGUUGCUGAGCGAAACUCGCUCCGGGGGAAGAAACGCAGGAGAGUGAAGGGGAGGGAGGAAAAGAUGAUGGUGAUGAUGAUGGUGAUGAUGGUGAUGAGGGAGGAACAGAGAGCUCGACUCUGACGACACAAAUGCAUCAGCAGCAUUAAGUGCACUUUAAUAUAAAUGCAUUUGUAUGACAACCAAAUACACUUAUAAGCAUCACAAUAGAACACUGGUUCACAAUGUCCAUUCUGCAGUAAAUAAUAGGAAUAAUAAUAAUAAGAUGUUCAGAAUAUAUUCCAUCUUAUGCGAUAAAAAUCUCUCUCUUCUGUAUGUACAGACCAGUAGCUGUUUCAUACAAAUGUACAAAUGUGUACAACCUUUCAGAAAAGAACAUAUGCCUACAUCCUGAGACGUAACGCAUAUGAAAUAGCUUUUUUUCUUCAAAUAUCACACAUACAGAAGUAUAAUUUUUACACUUGUAUAUUAACUUAGCCUUGAAUAGCUAGAACGUAGGAAUCAAUCCUUUACUUGACCGUAGACAACUCUACGUGAGCAUGUCGACACCAUGGGAAUUGUACCAUUCUCAACCCGUGUCGUUUGGUAACUGAAUAGAAAUAGCACCCGUCCCCCCCAGUUUUCAUUUUUUUAAAACAAAACCUUUUUGUAUUCUAAACCCCUCUCAAAAAAGAAGAAUCGCUCGUUCAACAUAGUCAAUUCGUAUGGAGUGCCGUUUGUUAAGCCACAUUGUGAAACGUUAACAGCGAUGAUUUCUUUUAUUUACCCGGUAACAAAGAAAACAAUGAGAAUGUUCAAUUUUCAAAGUCAUAUUUUGAACAUAUUAUUCCUAAAUUUAUAAAUCUCAGAGUUUCAAACUAAAUAUUUAAUUCACAAGUCUAAAAACUAAAUAUUUAGUUAGGAAGCUGAACAUUUAGUUUUCAACUAAGUUAUUUAGUUUGAGCUAGAUGUUUAGUUUUCAAAAUGAAAUAUUUAACUCCAAAGUUAGCUAUGAGGUAAAUAUUAAACUCGCAAGCUAAAUAUUUAGUUUAAAAAGCUAAAUA